rnacentral:rRNA from 1 species
CAAUAGCGUAUACUAAAAUUGUUGCAGUUAAAAAGCUCGUAGUUGGAUCUCGGGUGCCGGCGGGCGGUCGGCCGCAAGGCUUUGACUGCCCGCUCCGGCCCGGCCUCCUGGUCGUGCCCUGGUUCUCUUGACCGAGUGCCACGGGUGACCGGAACGUUUACUUUGAUAAAAUUAGAGUGUUCAAGGCAGGCUGUCGGCCUGAAUGGUGGUGCAUGGAAUAAUGGAAUAGGACCUCGGUUCCGUUCUGUUGGUUCUCCGGAAGCGGAGGUAAUGAUUAAGAGGGACGGCCGGGGGCAUUCGUAUUACGGUGUUAGAGGUGAAAUUCUGUGAUCAUCGUAAGACGGCCGGAAGCGAAAGCGUUUGCCAAGAACGUUUUCUUUAAUCAAGAACGAAAGUCAGAGGUU